rnacentral:lncRNA from 1 species
UGCGGGGGCGCAGGCUUGGAUCAGCCAAUCACCUUGCUGUCUACGAGAAGGCCUUUAUGAAGAAAUCCAUCUUUAGCUGGAGGCCCCUGUGACUAGAAAGAUUUCUCCUAUGCCCAUCUAACCCUGCUGCUGCAGUGUGACCUUCUCCUUCCUAGAUUUCUUCUCCUUGAGAACAGGCAACCUUAACUAAAACCAUUCAGACUUACUUCUUCCCGAGGUUGGAUGGGCUCCAGGCCUCUUCUAAUCCAAGCAUCUCGACCAACAUCACAGAAGCAGAACGAAUAUUACAUGGUUCUCUGACCGUCCACCAUGUUUUAUUUCCAACUGAUCUCUCUCUGAAUUUCCUACUCCAUCAUGUCUGUCUGGGUAAUUUCAGAACCAAAGAUUGGUGAAGACUGAGUUUCUCUGGGCUUUCUUUCCUCUGCACUAAGAGAAAAGUCUAUUGUAGGAAACCGUCUGUGAGAUUCGUUGACUGUUGGCACUAAUGAAAAGAAAAAGAAAAGAAAAAAGAAAACUUUCUUCCCUUAAAGCUAUUUCAAAGAUCUUAGAUAAUGAUAGUAGAAAAUAACCCCCAAAACAAGAAGAGCAAGAUGCAAAAGUUUAACAUCAGGCCUAUUUUGUCAUCCUGAAAUCUAACCCACUUUGCUUUG